AGUGAACGCUGGCGGUAGGCCUAACACAUGCAAGUCGAACGGCAGCACAGUAAGAGCUUGCUCUUACGGGUGGCGAGUGGCGGACGGGUGAGGAAUACAUCGGAAUCUACUUUUUCGUGGGGGAUAACGUAGGGAAACUUACGCUAAUACCGCAUACGACCUACGGGUGAAAGCAGGGGAUCUUCGGACCUUGCGCGAUUGAAUGAGCCGAUGUCGGAUUAGCUAGUUGGGGGGGUAAAGGCCCACCAAGGCGACGAUCCGGAGCUGGUCUGAGAGAAUGAUCGGCGACACUGGAACGGAGACACGGUCCAGACUCCUACGAGAGGCAGCAGUGGGGAAUAUUGGACAAUGGGGGCAAGCCUGAUCCAGCCAUACCGCGUGGGUGAAGAAGGCCUUCGGGUUGUAAAGCCCUUUUGUUGGGAAAGAAAAGCAGCAGGUUAAUACCCCGCUGUUCUGACGGUACCCAAAGAAUAAGCACCGGCUAACUUCGUG
rnacentral:rRNA from 1 species